AGCGCAGGUGGUUGUAUAAGUCUGAAGUAAAAGGCAGUGGCUCAACCAUUGUGUGCUUUGGAAACUGUACAACUUGAGUGCAGAAGGGGAGAGUGGAAUUCCAUGUGUAGCGGUGAAAUGCGUAGAUAUAUGGAGGAACACCGGUGGCGAAAGCGGCUCUCUGGUCUGUAACUGACACUGAGGCUCGAAAGCGUGGGGAGCAAACA
rnacentral:rRNA from 1 species